CUCCACGCACGCCUCCUCCUCGGCGCCCCCUCGCCCGCCUCCUCCUCCACGCAGAGCGCCCGCCCUCGACGAAUCCUCCACGCAGAGCCCCCACGCAGAGCGCCCGCCUCCAUCCUCCUCGACGAAUCCUCCUCGGCGCUCCCUCCCAGAUCCUCCUCGACGAAUCCUCCUCGGCGCCCGCCUCCUCGACGAUCCUCGACGCCCCCUCCCAGAUCCUCCUCCACGCAGAGCCCCAUAUCAUCCUCCUCGGCGCCCCGCUCCCAAAUUCUCCUCGGCGCCCGCCUCCUCGACGAUUUCUCCUCGGCGCCCCGCUCCCAGAUCCUCCUCGACGAAUCCUCCACGCAGAGCCAACCGGUGAGCCACUACGGUGAAGCCCAUGGCCAAAUUCCAGACGCCUGCAAUAAUAGUUCAAGAGGCUGAACCUGAAGAAAAAUUAUUGGAGGUGUGAAUCCUACAAAUUCAAUAUGAUGGAUCUUGGAUGUGUUGCUUUCUCAUGCAUGCAUUGGUGAAAUAAUAGCAGUAAUUAUCUUUUCAGGCCUGACCAUACUACCAGAGAGCUGGAACGCCGCCACCAAGGUCCACUACCACGCCGCCAUCGAGGACCAAUGCCACAUCCGCUCAACCGUUCCUGAUACCAGGUUGGGCUGAAUAUAAUCUCACUUUUGUUUCUUUGUGAUUGUUGAUGGUAGAAGAUAAGAAGCACUCAAAUCAGUAGAGACCUAAACUUAUUUACUAAUUCAGUAGAGACAUAAGAUGUUACAUCCUGGUUAUGAUCGCUAUAGAAAUCUUUGUGUCUUUGUCGAGACAAUAUUGAUUCAUAGAUAUUUUAGUGUUUCACAGCUUAGACUAUAGUUACUAAUAAUUGGCCAAAACAAAUAGUCUGUCGAAAUACACUUGAAAACAUCAAAUGCCAUGAUCUCUUGGUAAUAAAGUGUUGUAGUUAAACAUUGUGUGCCCGUACCUUUCUACCUAUCAUGUUAUUCAAUUCUGAUGGAUCUUCUCACUGUGGUUGUUUUUUAGCAGACAACUACUAUAGGCAGUAGCAAUCAGUACAUUAAACCUGCAAUUUCUUAAUGUGGCAACUGAGUUUACACUUGCAUCUCUAGAAUGUAGUAGCUAAGCGAACAUAACGUGAUAGCCUUUGUGCUGUGGACGAUCGCUAUCCUGUACGGACUGUAUUUUUUCUCCUGAAUAAAAGGUACCCAAACCUAACUUUAGUUACGAGUGAAAGGAAAAGAGAAUGUCUGUGAAUUGGUAGCUUAGUGUUAUUAACCAAAACUCCAAUAACAUGAAUUAAAACUAUCUUUUUUUAGGUAACCAUGCUACUACUGCAAGCUAAUAGUUCUAAACAUGUGUUCCUUUAUUUAUCAGUUAUUUUCACUCGCCUAAGCUAUAUUGGUAGUUCAGUAUCAGCUAUAUUCAAUAUUUUUUAAGGAAUUUAGAUUAUUUUUGCUUCAGCGCAAUUCCCUGAAGAUUUAACAAUUUGAAGUCCUUCGAAUUCAUGCAUUCAGUGCUCUUCUUUGUCUCUUUCCACAUAUCCUGUACAAUAUAUAGCUUUACUGAUGUUAAGAGUUCAUAGGUUCAGGUUUGCAUUUAUCUAAACAUAGCUGAUCAGAUGAUGCUACCAUAUAUUUACUUAUGCACUCCUAUGUUGCAUGUGAGACUAUUGAUAUGAUUUUUUAAUAAUAAUAGAACACUUAAUUCCUUAAGUAUUUGUAGCUGAUCAACGACCUGUUCGUCCAGGAUAGAAGCAGUGGUGGUGCAGCAGCAAGGGGAUUUAAUUUAGUAAGAUGUGUUGCACACAUGUGCAUGUGGUGUAUGUGUUGUGGAUUGGCCAAAUAAAAGCUAUAGGUAUUGAAAGAAAAUAAGAGAAAAAAUUAUGGGGGGCCGAACAGACAAGGGUGCCGAAAUAGCCCCUUGAGAAAAUUAUAAUUGCCUUAAAAACUAAAAUUGUCGCCUUGCAUUUCAGAUUGGAAUUUUAGUUUUAAGUCAUUUAUAUGCUAUUCUUGCAUGUUUAGAAAAUUAAAUUAUUACUUAUAUAUUGACAGAAAAAUAUCAUAUAUCUUGAAUUCUGGAGAGCAAAAGCUACUCCCAAAAGCCAAAUCAAAGAUUGCAAUUUCAGUAAAGACACACAACACACAUGUACGAGUAAAGGUGUCCACCUCCUAUGUUGACAGUGCCACCCUACUCCUCGGUGACUUCAGAUCUUGAUUGCCUGGCAGCGUCCUGGCCUGAUUGAGUGGCAAUGGUCACGUUGGCCUGCCGCUCUUAGGCCGAGGACAACAAGAAGAAAGGUGUGUCUGCCAACUGUUGUGGUGGUGUCCUGGGCUGAUUGAGUGUUGUCUGCUCCAGUCCAUUGACAUUGCCCCAAAAUCUAGCUAUGGAUGUGCAAAAUCAUCUCUCAUGUUCAGUGUUUCAGUACGACCUUGCAAUUUUUGUUGUUGUUUAUUUCAUAGCAGAUGGAGUUUAGAUUGGGUUCUUGUUAUUUUGUCUAUAGUUGUGUUUGAAUUUAGCCAAGCAAUUAAGAUCUGUACAUUCUUGACUAAGUUCCGAUAAUCUGAUGCAAGCUAAUAGAUUUUUGUUAGCAUGAUAGGUUCUUGGAAAAUCACACAAUGUGUAUUUUCUGAGCAAUAAUCAUGGCUAUUCUUACUAAGAUUUUGUACCUUUUGCCUUUCAAUAUUUUAGUCUAUCUAAUUGCAGUUUUAGAGCUGCACAUUGGAUUAGACAGAGGAGCAGAACAACAAUGAGGCAUCGGUGCGAGGGGACAACCAACAACCAGGAAGCUAGGGGUGCUUCCUCAGUCCUCACGCUGCCGAGUCGACUGCUGGAUGGUUCAAUUUCAGAUGUCAUUGGCCUUAGAGCCCACUUAAAACAAGUCUGAUGAUGCCCUCUCAAACUUACAAACUAGACUUACUUGACCAUGUACGUUUAUGACUGUGCAUCUUAGAUUGCCUCAUAUAUUGUAUUAAUUCGAAGGUGAACUGAAUGACAUAUCUCUAAACAACCUUACGUGUUGAUGGUAGAUUUUUAAUCAUUGGUUUCUAAGGUGGUGCUUAGUAAAGUGAAGUAUAAGUUGUACUUGCAAGACAUUUGACCAUACAAAGUAUUUCAGUUACCCAUGACACUGCUUAAUCGAAGCUAUAAUGCAUA